UUCACCCAUUUUGAACUCCUGACCGGCCGCCUGAUGCCUGGUCCAGCCUCGGCUUCGCUCCAGCUGGACAUGGAACCGCCGAAGGGCAAUAAGCCCUACUGGGAGCAACUGUCAUCUCGUGUCCUCGCUUUGUGUUUCAGAUCCCUCUGUUGCAGAUGUCCACGUCAGUGACUCUUCCCUUCCGACUCACGUGUAUUUGAAAGUGCUCCAAAGCAAGAGGUCUGAACCACAGUGGACUCGUCCAUUUGAGGUGUGAGCAGGUGAUUAUCCACUCGAAACUGGGAUACUGGGAACCGAUGAAUGGUAGGAAUUGGCAGUGGAAGGACAGGAUCAAACUGGAAAAAGGGUCGCGGGCGUGCUGGAGCCUAUCCCAGCUGUCAUCGGGCAGGAGGCGGGGUACACCCUGAACUGGUUGGCAGCCAAUCGCAGGGCACAUACAAACAAACGACCAUUCGCACUUGGGAUGUGGGAGGAAACCGGAGUGCCCGGAGAAAACCCACGCAGGCACGGGGAGAACAUGCAAACUCCACACAGGCGGGGCCGGGGAUUGAACCGGGGUCCUCAGAACUGUGAGGCUGACGCUCUAACCAGUCGUCCACCGUGCCGCCGCGACGGGAUAUGACCUGAAUAAUGACUUGGUCCAGGGGGUGGUAUACCGACGUAUGCUACAGGAGGCUAAGGGGCGAGCGGCAGGGAUUAAUACAGGAAAUCUUUGGUUUAAAGAAGUUAUUGUGGAAGGAAAAUUUUACUGCUGCUACUGAGUUUGAGUCGACCUGUACCUACCAGCUGAUGACUAAAGAAUAUUUGGAGGGUGAUUGCCAGCGCUGGGACCACGUGUAUCCUCUAACCAAGGAAAUCAACCACAUGGCGGAUUUCACCUGGGAGCGUGACUGGUGGGCUAUCUUAACCCGCUCCCGCCGUGUGGUCAGUGGCUUCAACGUGGGUGGAAACGCUUGGGAAGCAGGAGAAGACCCCACCUACCUGGACGCCAUUGGAGUUCCCAGAGGUGUCCCGGAUGAUUAUAAAGCUCGCUGUCAAACUUCCGCAGGUCUUGAGAGUAUUUUCAUAUGGGUAACCCCAAAUAAAAAUGUUGAUUUUAUUAAUUACCAUCAUUACCAAAAUCAAAGACUGGUGAAUUUCACCUCCCAAUUGGCAGAGGGUGUCCAUGAGCAACUAUCCGCUAACUCUCUCAUGGUAUUCCAAAAUAAGCUGGUCUUUGAUAACUGUUAGCGGAAGAAGGGGGUGCCUGCUCUCGCAUCAAGGGUCACUGUUGUAUGAUUAUCCCCAACAAUACGGCACCAAACGGAAAGCUCACCAGAGCCAUGAAAGGUUUGCAAGCCAUGUCUGUUAAACUUAAAUCAAUGUCUGGAGUGGAUGACAACCCAUUCCAUAGCCUGCUGAACAGGAUGUUUGGUAAAUGGAAAGGUCUCAUGCUGACUUUGGCUACUACCAUCCUGGUUGUCAUUGCUGUGCUUGCUUUGUGUGGAUGUUGUAUCAUCCUCCUGAGACAAGGAUGACACCUUGUCUCAGGAGUCUUAUCCUCCGGAUUGUCCACAAGGCCUUUGAGGGGAAGGACCCCCACGGCCAAUAUCAGCUGCUGCCCCUGAAAGAGGACGUGGAGACCAUUAGCGCGCUUGCGCCGUUGAACUUCGCGCCUGUAUGCUCUCCUUAAGUUUUUGGAUAUUUGCUAUAUUUUGUUUGGGCUAUAUUAAGUAUUAGCACGGACUUGGGUCCAUAUUUAGACGGUGUUGAUCUCUGAUUAGCAGAGAUUAAAUGGGGGAUUCGUGGGAUAUGGUUUUGCCCAUUAAUUGGUUUGUGCUUGAACAGUGGUGCUUUGUUGCAGUGAAGAUAAAAUGAAGUGAAGAUAAGGGUGUGAGGGUGAGCUGCUUGAAAGUUCCCAGUAGGGUGCAUGUGGAGGACACAGGAAACAUCUGCCGGAGAUAACCGUGGAUACAAAGCGUUGCUGCAAACCUUAUGAGGAAGUGAGAAGUGUUGAGACAGCAUCUUGCACCAGCGCCAAACGGCCAUCAUUCUGCAUAGCAACGAUGACGUCAAUCGACCCUGGACCAACCGGACGAAGACAACUCCACACUUCCUCUUUGAAUUUUUUUUAUCAGACUGGGUCAGGAACAGAUAGUUUUGUUCGGACUACACUAUCUCUGCUAAGGCUAAGAUAAGGGUAGCUGCUGAACCAGAGC